UCCCUUAUCACCACAGCUUUCCAUUGGUUCGGCUAUUCUAAUGGAAAAUCGUGUGUAAUUAUUAUGGAAUUAUUAAAUGCCAUUGUCUCUAAUCAGUGUUCUCUGGACGGUUACAUGCUGAUGACCAUUACAUCAGACCGCCUGAAGUGAGUAUAGUAUCUGACUUGCUUAGUAAUAUGUCAUUGUUUUAUAGUUGCUGGGUUAAAGGACCUCAUAUGUUCUUUGGUUAAAGGAACUCUUAUGUCUUUUGGUUAAAGGAACUCCCAUGUCUUUUGGUUAAAGGAACUCCCAUGUAUUUUGGUUUAAGGAACUCCCAUGUAUUUUGGUUAAAGGAACUCCCAUGUAAUAUAAUAAUAAUAAUAUAUGCCAUUUAGCAGACGCUUUUAUCCAAAGCGACUUACAGUCAUGUGUGCAUACAUUCUACAUAUGGGUGGUCCCGGGGAUCGAACCCACUACCCUGGCGUUACAAGCGCCAUGCUCUACCAACUGAGCUACAGAAGGAUGUAUUUUGGUUAAAGGAAUUCCCAUGUAUUUUGGUUUAAGGAACUCCCAUGUAUUUUGGUUAAAGGAACUCCCAUGUAUUUUGGUUUAAGGAACUCUUAUGUAUUUUGGUUAAAGGAACUCCUAUGUAUUUUGGUUAAAGGAACUCCCAUGUAUUUUGGUUUAAGGAACUCUUAUGUCUUUUGGUUAAAGGAACUCCCAUGUAUUUUGAUUAAAGGAACUCCCAUGUAUUUUGGUAAAAGGGGCUCUUAUGUAUUUUGAAUAAAGGAACUCCCAUGUAUUUUGAUUAAAGGAACUCCCAUGUAUUUUGGUAAAAGGAGCUCUUAUGUCUUUUGGUUAAAGGAACUCCCAUGUAUUUUGGUUUAAGGAACUUUUAUGUCUUUUGGUUAAAGGAACUCCCAUGUAUUUUGAUUAAAGGAACUCUUAUGUCUUUUGGUUAAAGGAACUCCCAUGUAUUUUGAUUAAAGGAACUCUUAUGUCUUUUGGUUAAAGGAACUCCCAUGUAUUUUGGUUAAAGGAGCUCUUAUGUCUUUUGGUUAAAGGAACUCCCAUGUAUUUUGGUUAAAGGAACUCCCAUGUAUUUUGGUUAAAGGAACUCCCAUGUAUUUUGGUUAAAGGAACUCCCGUGUAUUUUGGUUAAAGGAACUCCCAUGUAUUUUGGUUUAAGGAGCUCUUAUCUAUUUUGGUUAAAGGAGCUCUUAUCUAUUUUGGUUAAAGGAACUCCCAUGUCUUUUGGUUAAAGGAACUCCCAUGUAUUUUGGUUUAAGGAGCUCUUAUCUAUUUUGGUUAAAGGAACUCCCAUGUCUUUUGGUUAAAGGAACUCCCAUGUAUUUUGGUUAAAGGAGCUCUUAUCUAUUUUGGUUAAAGGAACUCCCAUGUAUUUUGAUUAAAGGAACUCCCAUGUAUUUUGGUUAAAGGAGCUCUUAUGUCUUUUGGUUAAAGGAACUCCCAUGUAUUUUGGUUUAAGGAACUCCCAUGUCUUGACAGUCCCCCAAAAACGGCCCAAGAAUUACUUUAAAAAUAUGCUUUCAUGAUUAUAUUAUUGAUUUCUCACCAUUUUAUUUGUCAAUAGACAGCCAUUUAAACGUCCUCUGUCGAAUAAACUUGUAUUUGCCUCCCUCUGGUGGUCAGCUGCAUCAUUACAUCAGUUUAUAUCACAUCACUUCAACUUUACGUCAUAGGGGCGGUCCUUAGAAAAACACUUAACCAGCUCUACUGCUUCAUGGCACAGACUUGGCAAAGUAAUCGCUGAAUUUGUCUCAAGCAGGAACUCCCAUGGUGUGGAUUUUGAGCUGCAGAAGGCUGGGUCCUCCUUUUAGUGUAGCUGAUACAUCAUCCAUCAGAGGGCCUGAGGAUCUUGGACCGCAGCUGAGGACACAUUGGCCUGACACCUGGAUGAGAUUGCCCAAUCCCUCCUUGUCCCCCUCUACCUGCUACCAACCUGUUGCUGCCUCCACUGGUUCUUUCUCCCCUGCACUCACCAGAAACUUGGAUUCCGUUUCUUCCCAUGACAUCUUUAUAAAAAGACAUCUGACCAUAGGGUCAGAAGUGUUAAUACUUCCUCUAUAGUCAUUAUGGAUAUUGUCUUGAGCCUGCUGGCCAUCGGCAGGAGGUCAGAGACCUGGCAGUGUGGUGCCAGGGCAACGACCUCUUCAUCAACGUGAUCAAAACAAAGGAGAUGAUCGUGGACUACAGGAAGAGGAGGGCCAAGUACGCCACAAUGAACAUCACCGGGGCUGUAGUGUAGCGGGUCCACAUCACCAACAAACUAGCAUGGUCCAAACACACCAAGAAAGUUGUGAAGAGGGUACGACACUUUUCCCCCCUCAGUAUACUGAAAAGAUUUGGCAUGGGUCCUCAGAUCCUCAAACAUGUCAACAGCUGCACAAUCGAGAGCAAGUGCUCAGCAUCCGACCGCAAGGCGCUACACAGGGUAGUGCAUAUGGCCCAGUAUACGGCCCAGUACAUCACUGGGGCAGGAGCUUCAAAUCAUUUUUUAAAUUUGAUUUCCUACCAUCCAGGACCUCUAUACCAAACGGUGUCAGAGGAAAGCCCUAAAAUGGUCAAAUAUUCCAGCCAUCCUAUUCAUUUAUCUCUGCUGCCGCACGGAAAGCGUUACCGGAGCAUCAAGUCUUGCUGUAAAAUGUAUUGGUUGUUAAAUCCAGAGAAUUUACAGACCAUGUAAAAAACUGUUGUUCACUAAAUCCGUCUUAAGGGCCAUUUAAGAAUGGCUGGCUGGUAUGUCCUCCCCCGUCUGAGCAGUCUGCUGUCCUCCCCCGUCUGAGCAGUCGGCUGUCCUCCCCCGUCUGAGCAGUCGGCUGUCCUCCCCCGUCUGAGCAGUCGGCUGUCCUCCCCCGUCUGAGCAGUCGGCUGUCCUCCCCCGUCUGAGCAGUCUGCUGUCCUCCCCCGUCUGAGCAGUCGGCUGUCCUCACCCGUCUGAGCAGUCUGCUGUCCUCCCCCGUCUGAGCAGUCGGCUGUCCUCACCCGUCUGAGCAGUCGGCUGUCCUCA